rnacentral:rRNA from 1 species
AGAUUGAACGCUGGCGGAAUGCUUUACACAUGCAAGUCGAACGGCAGCACGGGGGCAACCCUGGUGGCGAGUGGCGAACGGGUGAGUAAUACAUCGGAACGUGCCCAGUCGUGGGGGAUAACGUAGCGAAAGCUACGCUAAUACCGCAUACGAACUCUGGUUGAAAGCGGGGGAUCGCAAGACCUCGCGCGAUUGGAGCGGCCGAUGGCAGUAUUAGGUAGUUGGGUAGGGGUAAAGGCUCACCAACGCCUGGACGAUUCUGUAGCUGGUCUAGAGAGGACGACACGCCACACGUGGGACUGACGACACCGGCCA